rnacentral:sRNA from 1 species
UGAUGACGUUGCUUACACGAACCCUAGC